rnacentral:rRNA from 1 species
GACGAACGCUGGCGGCGUGCUUAACACAUGCCAGUCGAACGGAAAGGCCUUUUCGGAGGUACUCGAGUGGCGAACGGGUGAGUAACACGUGGGUGAUCUGCCCUGCACUCUGGGAUAAGCCUGGGAAACUGGGUCUAAUACCGGAUAGGACCGCACUUUAGUGUGUGUGGUGGAAAGUUGUUUCGGUGUAGGAUGAGCCCGCGGCCUAUCAGCUUGUUGGUGGGGUAAUGGCCUACCAAGGCGGCGACGGGUAGCCGGACUGAGAGGUUGGUCGGCCACAUUGGGACUGAGAUACGGCCCAGACUCCACGGGAGGCAGCAGUGGGGAAUAUUGCACAAUGGGCGCAAGCCUGAUGCAGCGACGCCGCGUGGGGGAUGACGGCCUUCGGGUUGUAAACUCCUUUCGCCAGGGACGAAGCGUUUUGUGACGGUACCUGGAGAAGAAGCACCGGCUAACUACGUG